AGUGAACGCUGGCGGUAGGCCUAGCACAUGCAAGUCGAACGGCAGCACAGUAAGAGCUUGCUCUUACGGGUGGCGAGUGGCGGACGGGUGAGGAAUACAUCGGAAUCUACUUUUUCGUGGGGGAUAACGUAGGGAAACUUACGCUAAUACCGCAUACGACCUACGGGUGAAAGCAGGGGAUCUUCGGACCUUGCGCGAUUGAAUGAGCCGAUGUCGGAUUAGCUAGUUGGCGGGGUAAAGGCCACCAAGGCGACGAUCCGUAGCUGGUCUGAGAGGAUGAUCAGCCACACUGGAACUGAGACACGGUCCAGACUCCUACGGGAGGCAGCAGUGGGGAAUAUUGGACAAUGGGCGCAAGCCUGAUCCAGCCAUACCGCGUGGGUGAAGAAGGCCUUCGGGUUGUAAAGCCCUUUUGUUGGGAAAGAAAAGCAGCAGGUUAAUACCCCGCUGUUCUGACGGUACCCAAAGAAUAAGCACCGGCUAACUUCGUG
rnacentral:rRNA from 1 species